AAGCUUUCCUUGUGGUUUAAGCUCUAAUUCACUGCAUAACAUCCCCCGAUUCACCCAAAAACGGGAGAAAAAAUUAACAUUUAUGUAAUAGAAUGAGACAUCCAAGUGGUAGCAUCAACGUGGUAGCGUAAAACUCUUUUAUAUGUAACAAUCCAAUGUAUCAAGUUAGCUGCAAUAUUCUUCUACUUAAAACAUCCAGUUAGAACUACAAGAACCUUUUAGUAUGAAGUAUAAACGCACUGAAUUAUGCAGUGAACACUACAAAUGGAAUAAAAGUGGACAAUGUAAUGAAGAUUUUGGGCAGUAGUGUAAUGUGAUAUAAUACAACUCAACUCAACUCAAACUAAGCCUUUAUCCCAAAAAU
rnacentral:misc_RNA from 1 species